UACGUAGGGGGCUAGCGUUGUCCGGAAUCAUUGGGCGUAAAGAGCGUGUAGGCGGUUCGGUAAGUCCGCUGUGAAAGUCGGGGGCUCAACCCUCGGAUGCCGGUGGAUACUGUCGGACUAGAGUACGGAAGAGGCGAGUGGAAUUCCUGGUGUAGCGGUGAAAUGCGCAGAUAUCAGGAGGAACACCGAUUGCGAAGGCAGCUCGCUGGGACGUUACUGACGCUGAGACGCGAAAGCGUGGGGAGCAAACAGG
rnacentral:rRNA from 1 species